CGCGAAUUCGCCCUUCGGGGUGCAGCAGGCGCGAAAACUUUACAAUGCGGGAAACCGUGAUAAGGGAACUCCGAGUGCCCGUAAAAUCGGGCUGUCCAUCUGUUUAAAUAACAGGUGAAGAAAGGGCCGGGCAAGACCGGUGCCAGCCGCCGCGGUAAUACCGGCGGCUCGAGUGGUGGCCACUAUUACUGGGCUUAAAGCGUUCGUAGCUGGUCUGUUAAGUCUCUGGGGAAAUCUACUGGCUUAACCAAUAAACGUUUCAGGGAUACUGGCAGACUAUGGACCGGGAGAGGUGAGAGGUACUCCAGGGGUAGGAGUGAAAUCCUGUAAUCCUUGGGGGACCACCUGUGGCGAAGGCGUCUCACCAGAACGGCUCCUACAGUGAGGGACAAAAGCUGGGGGAGCAAACCGGAUUAGAUACCCGGGUAGUCCCAGCCGUAAACGAUGUGCGUUAGGUGUAUCGAUGACCACGAGUCAUCGAGGUGCCGAAGAGAAAUCGUGAAACGUACCGCCUGGGAAGUACGGUCGCAAGGCUGAAACUUAAAGGAAUUGGCGGGGGAGCAC
rnacentral:rRNA from 1 species